UCCAACACAAAACAUUCUAUGGUAAGUUAUAAUACUGUUAUUUGCACAUGUGAUCAUACCUGCUCUGAUAAGAAUAGCUGUAUUAGAUGGGCCCAAGGGUCCGUGUUGUGCAGCAUCAUGUCUACAGCUGUGGCCAUGAGUGGAUACCUGGGAGAGAUGAACUUCAAGACUGGUAUAUGUGAUAUUUCCCCUUUACACUCUCCUGCCCUUUAGCAGCUUUCAACCCAUGCACUGCUUGAGUCUAUUUUUGUCCAGGUUCUCACAUGCUUUUUACUACUAUGUCUCUGCCUUAAAAUUUUUCAGAUAUCACAGAUACACCUAGGAAAGUGUAUAUUUCCAGGCUGAGCAGGAAAGUUCAAUUAAGCUUCUGACUAGUGUGACCUUCAUUCAGUUUUCCCACAUAGCAGGGUCGCAGCAGCUUAGUCUGUAAUGGGAAUUACAUCUCUAAGUAUUUCCAAAGAAGCCCUUGAAGUGAACUACUUGAAACGAUACAACGAAAAAAGAAUGUGAUAGCUGCUAUAACAUUUAUUUCUUCCUGUUUGCAAGGCCAAAAGAAACUGGAAAAGAAAGGACGAAUGGCAAACAGAAAUAUACAGGAGUACAACCAUUGUUGGUAGUGACCUUGUUCUUCACAUUGGGAGGUUUUCUGCUAUCAGCCCGCUUCACAGGGUAGCUGGUGACACCUCACGUUCCCUGCAUACACAAGCCCUUCACUGGAUUCAACACAAUGAGUGAGACCCUCAGUAAUCAGUAGAAAAAGACUCAUAGCAAUGCAAUGGUGCUAGUUUACACCAACUCAUCUUUGGUUCUACAAUUAGUCUCUGCUUUUGUUUCCUUUGAGCCAGUGCUGAAAUUGCCAAUCAGUGAAGGAGCUAAUGAGUAGCAGGACAAAAUGCUUUCAUGGAGCAAUUAUUUCCCUUCUUUCCAACACUGCUGAUAGUGUUGGAAAAGGCCAUGUUUUCUGUGUGUUGUAGAAGUAGCACAUAGGUUUGAAGUGUUUCAGUUUCUUGCGGUCCAGAUAUACAAUGGUGUAACUGUUUUCAGUUGUGCUCUGCAGGGAAAAGAGAUGGUCAAAGAGUAGAAAUGCAUUCCUUACUACAAGAUGGGAAGCAACCUGGGAUGCUUUCCAACAAUCUGUGCCUGAAAGUGAAGCCAGACAACAACUGGAGAGUUCCCAGUCUCUUGAAAUCCCCUUUCUUAAUCUAGGCUUGGGGUGUUGCUGGAGUGUAACAGGUAAGGGAGUCCAGAGCAAAGGUAAGUGCUACCUGCAGAGCUGCUGUGGGAGAAUGGCUUCUAUCUGAGCUGAAAACAGGUCAGAAACUGGCAGGUCAGUGCCCAGCAGCAGCUGUACGGGUGGCCUGGAGGAAGCAGCUGAAAGCAAACAAACAUUGGUUUUGUAUUGUUUCCAAGAACUGGCUAGGUCACCUCCUUAUCUGUGAUUUAUGUAUCUCAUGAAUAGGCUGCUCAACUAUCUGGAUGAAAGGACUCAUCGCCUUGCGAUUAAAGCUGGGAAAUGCUUUUGGAAAAACAGAAGAUGUGCUGGAUGAGGAUAGUGUUGUCCCUCUGGCCUGGCAGGUUUUUUUCCAUUAAGAGGAGAAACUGAUUCUAUUACUUGGAGAGAGGUCACGGCUGAAAUGAGCCGUGAGAUAUUUAACACUGAAGUGGAGGAGAAAGCUGAAAAACUAGGAGAGCAACUGCUUGAAAACUGGAAAUCCUUGGCCUUGAAGAAAGGAGCUGGUUUUGCAGAAACAGUGGUCACCCUCGGAGUUCGAGGGGCUGCUGGGACAGACUGCCUGCCUGCUGCACCAGAGGCGGAGGCUGCUCCCUGGAGUGAAGGAGCUGUUGGGAGAACUGGGGGUGGCUACUGGGAGAUGAUUGAACACAUAUGACAUCCCUGAGGCCUGGGGCUGAACACGAGCUCUCUGGAGCUCAUUACAGCUACCUGCCUGCCAGUGCAUUAAGUGAUGGACAAGUCUUCAGAUGCUUCAUGGUCCCAGUGGCCCGGAAUCCACAUCCUCUGCUGGGCCAUAUCUGGCGAUGCAGCAAUCUCUCCUUCCUUGUUGAGGGGAUGAAGAGCAGUACUUCUCCAAUGGUCUUAGCACAUCACAUGUCCUGUUGCUACUACUCUUCACAGAGGUGCCUCCUUUGGAGAGACAUGCUGGUGGGUGGCCAAGGACUGAUGGUGUUGGGGCGGCCCUGGGCAGCAAUUAAUCCAGUGUGGUAGGACGCUCUGCCAGAUAUAUUGCUGCCCCAAGGGGUUGGUUUAUUGGUCUAAUGGUAUCUGGGCCUAACCUCUAGUAUGAAGCCAGGUUUCAGUGAGUCAUAUCUGCAAGCAGAAACCCUUGUCACAGUCCCCCUUUCCUCAGGCUCCUGAUGAAACUGUGUGGGGUUGUGACCAUGCAGCAGAGCAGGACUGCGUGCCACAACACUCUCAGUUGGGUAAGCUGGCUGGGGGCUCUGCAAGGUGGCAAGUUCUGUCCAGCCCCAUCACUGCAGAAGCAUUGCAAAGCCAAGAAAAAGUGCAAUAAACUGAAUGUCUGGCAAAAACCACCUGGUUGCCUCCUUGAUGAAGUGAGAAUGCAGGGGGCUGGGCUGACCUGGACUGGCUGUGCACAUGGUUUACCUGGUUCCUAUAUUGGAGCUGCUGCAGCUGUCAUUCAAACAUACCCCUGCUGUUGUGUUAUUUACUGUCCCCCAGCCUUCAGUGGGAUGGGUGGGCUUUUUCUGUCCUUGUUGAGGGACCAUUUCUCUGCACACGAUGCCUUGUGAUUGCUUGCUUAGAUGAUAUGUGAUGCAGCUCACAUCAAAGUUUUGUCACUUACCAGCUAGUAAAUGAUUUAAAGCAGUAUUUCACAUCUUCACAAUAAUUUUUCACUCUAGCUAAGAAGAAGAUCAUUCAGAAAUCAGUCCUUGCAUCUGCCUUUCUGUUUGUAACUACUCUAAGCAACCAUCACUGAGUGCAAAGGAGACAGGGAGAUCUGAAAAUUGAAAGUACUGUAGACAGUAGAGUGCGUUGUGCAAGGGCUCUGUCCCUCAUCAGUGUCAAAUUGCAUAAACCAAUGUUGGCCAGAUGAAGUCAAAUAACAGCUCACUUCCUAAAAUGGAAAUAUCCCCAUAUGUUGUUCCUGGCCGAGGACUACUCUCGGGGGCAAGAUCAGCAAGCAGAUGGUAGUGACUGCAGCAUGCCCCUUACCGCUGCCAGCCCCCAUGGUGCUCGGGGGAAGGAGAAAAGCACUAUUUGCCAUAGAUCUGACAAGCAGCGGGGGACUUUACACCCUAUAAAAUCCCCCUAAUUUAACUGUAACUGCCAAUAAAUCGGCAUUAACCUAAAUGUGUAUCUUUCUUGAAAAGAAGCUACUGUUCUCUGGGAUCCAACCUCUACCAGUUAGUCUGUUACUGCUCAUGUCACUGAUAUUGCCUAGGGCUUACAUGUUUCAGGCACAUUGUUAGCACAACAAAUUAAAACAGGGACUCGGAAAACCCUGUACUGGGAGUUUAUUUGCACAGUUUAGCAGCAAAAGACUGUUCUUUAAUGGUGGAGAGCAGUCAAGGGUCCAUCCAUGCAGUGUGGGGAAAAUGAGUGGUAGGUGACAGUGGAGGAAACCUAAAUAGGCCAUGGGCCUCCCACCCUGGGAAUGAUCCAUCAAGGCCAGUGGAGCAGCUAGCCUCUGGCUCUGCUUGGAGUCCCAAGAUUGCAGGUCUUUAUGAUUUUAGUUUUAACUAUUCUCACCAUUUCUAGCCCUGCCCCAAGGCUUUGGGCAACCUGACCUACCCAAAGCUCAAGGUGCUGGUCAUGUUCUGCUAUCACAGUUUUUACCUCUUGUUUCUUCUGUAGAUGGCUGCAGCAGGAUUGUAUCAUGAUGGUAUUUACAGAUAAGAUAUUUAGCCAGAUAGCAUAUUUGCUUAGCAGUAGCUCUGGACACUAGUUCCUUCCAGCUGUCCUUGAAGCUGGCAGAAUAUCUUGCCCACAGCUAUCUAUCAAUCAUGCAGUCUCUACCACGCCAGAGCUUGUGGACGGCAUUUGCCCUGAUGUUGCUUCCAACGUAUCUGAGCAUUUUUAUCCAUUUAAGGGCUAGGGACUUGAAUUGUUUGUCCUCCCAUAUGAAGUUCCUCAUAAUUUAGCCAUUUGACCAAUGCAAGCUCUUAUUUUGUAGUUAGCUUCUCUCCACAUUCAUUCCCCUAUUAUGACUUCGACCAGCCCCUCAUCUCUCCAGAAUUUUCUCGCCUGCACACAUUUUGUUCCCAAAGGCUCCUUGACUGUAUCUGCGGACCAGUUGUCUCGGCUUUCUGGAGCCCUUUGGCAAAACUCAUCUCUUUUGUGAUGCAUCACGUGGAGUUUCACCGGUUGCCCCUACAGUCUAGCUCAGCUUGGCAUUUCAUAUGUGUUUGUCACCCCAGCUCUCAGGCCAGCUUCGUAUCACCCACCUGUUACAUCUCCUAGAGUCAGACCCUCCACAUGGCUCAGUGGACAUCUUCAAGACCAUCAAAGAAGGUCUGCAAAAAUUGUUUUUUCUACAAAUUGAUUAAAAUUGUAUCCAGUCCACAGCUUCCUUCCAUAGUUUAGUUUCAGAACCAAAUCUGGCACCAGCAUAGCUAAAGCUAUGUGUCAUGCUUCCAUGCAGAUGUUCCCACUGGUGUAUCAGGCAUGGCCGUGCAACUAAGCCAGAGCUAGUUAGCAAGUCACUGAGCUUCAUCCUUCUCUAGCACGGUGCACAGUCCUCAUUUACUCCUGUCCUGAAUGUGCGAGCAAAAUACAAGCAAACCAGAAGAGAUACAGCUCUAAUCCAGGUCAGGCUGCUGCUAGCAGGGUGCAGGGAAGCAGCCGCAGCAGUGGCCGGGAUGUCAGGAUCAAUAGGGAGCACAUGGCUGCUUUCAUGUUAUUGUUCCACCUAUUUCAAGAUCAGGGAUCAGGAACAGGGAUUUUUAUUCCAAAAAGACCAUCAGUGGAGUCGUUCAUGCACAUCCAACCCUGAUUACUGCAGUUAGUCUAUGAACACAUUAUGUGUCUUUAGGUGUAGAUACAUACACACGCAUUAUAUAGAGUCAAUGUGGUUCUUCAGCAGAAGAAAGGGGCAAAGUCUUGCUCAGAUUCAUGCAAUGGACAUUUGCAGCCAUGUCUUCCAAUACAAAGACCCAGCCAAGCUGAGCAUGGAGCUGGAGGGUGGAGGGGGGAGGUACAGCAUAGAGAGGCCUGAAUUUUGGCUGCCCUUGCUCCCUGGCAGACCACUCCAGCACCCUUUUGAGCCCUAACUGCAGCAGAGACUGGUUCACAUGGUGUCAACAGCCAAACUAAAUUUCUGCUUUAUA